CCAAUAGCGUAUAUUAAAGUUGUUGCAGUUAAAAAGCUCGUAGUUGAAUUUCGGGAUUGACGUGAUGGUCGUGCCUUAAGGGGUAUGAACUGUUGCUGUUGAUUUCUCACCUUCUGGAGAAACUUGAUGUCCUUUAUUGGGUGUCUUGCGGAUCCAGGACCUUUACCUUGAAAAAAUUAGAGUGUUUAAAGCAGGCAUUUUUGCUCGAAUACAUUAGCAUGGAAUAAUAGAAUAGGACGGCAUGGUUCUAUUUUGUUGGUUUCUAGGAUCACCGUAAUGAUUAAUAGGGAUAGUUGGGGGCAUUAGUAUUCAAUUGUCAGAGGUGAAAUUCUUGGAUUUAUUGAAGACUAACUACUGCGAAAGCAUUUGCCAAGGAUGUUUUCAUUAAUCAAGAACGAAAGUUAGGGGAUCGAAGACGAUCAGAUACCGUCGUAGUCUUAACCAUAAACUAUGCCGACUAGGAAUCAGACGAUGUUAAUUUUUUAAUGACUCGUUUGGCACCUUACG
rnacentral:misc_RNA from 1 species